rnacentral:rRNA from 2 species
GGGCUUGACAUCCCACGAACCUGCCUGAAAGGGCGGGGUGCCCGCAAGGGAGCGUGGAGACAGGUGGUGCAUGGCUGUCGUCAGCUCGUGUCGUGAGAUGUUGGGUUAAGUCCCGCAACGAGCGCAACCCUCACCCCUAGUUGCCACCGGGUAAUGCCGAGCACUCGAGGGGAACUGCCAGCGUCAAGCUGGAGGAAGGCGGGGAUGACGUCAAGUCAUCAUGCCCCUUACGCCCUGGGCUACACACGUGCUACAAUGGCCAGUACAAAGGGAUGCGAGACCGUAAGGUGGAGCUAAUCCCAAAAAGCUGGUCUAAGUUCAGAUUGCAGUCUGCAACUCGACUGCAUGAAGGAGGAAUCGCUAGUAAUCGCGCAUCAGCACGGCGCGGUGAAUACGUUCCCGGGCCUUGUACACACCGCCCGUCACACCACGAAAGCUGGCUGUACUCGAAGUCGCUGAGA